UUAAGUGACUAAGCGUACACGGUGGAUGCCUAGGCAGUCAGAGGCGAUGAAGGACGUGCUAAUCUGCGAUAAGCGUCGGUGAGCUGAUAUGAAGCAUUAUUAGCCGGCGAUGUCCGAAUGGGGAAACCCAGUGCAAUCCGUUGCACUAUCGUUAAGUGAAUACAUAGCUUAACGAGGCGAACCAGGGGAACUGAAACAUCUAAGUACCCUGAGGAAAAGAAAUCAACCGAGAUUCCCCUAGUAGCGGCGAGCGAACGGGGAAGAGCCCAGAACCUGAAUCAGUUUGUGCAUUAGUGGAAGCGUCUGGAAAGUCGCGCGAUACCGGGUGAUAGCCCCGUACACGAAGGUGCACAGCUGUGAGUUCGAUGAGUAGGGGCGGGACACGUGUUAUCCUGUCUGAAUAUGGGGGGGACCAUCCUCCAAGGCUAAAUACUCCUGACUGACCGAUAGUGAACCAGUACCGUGAGGGAAAGGCGAAAAGAACCCCGGCGAGGGGAGUGAAAUAGAACCUGAAACCGUGUACGUACAAGCAGUGGGAGCAUCCUUCGGGGUGUGACUGCGUACCUUUUGUAUAAUGGGUCAGCGACUUAUAUUUUGUAGCAAGGUUAACCGAAUAGGGGAGCCGUAGGGAAACCGAGUCUUAACUGGGCGUCUAGUUGCAAGGUAUAGACCCGAAACCCGGUGAUCUAGCCAUGGGCAGGUUGAAGGUUGGGUAACACUAACUGGAGGACCGAACCGACUAAUGUUGAAAAAUUAGCGGAUGACUUGUGGCUGGGGGUGAAAGGCCAAUCAAACCGGGAGAUAGCUGGUUCUCCCCGAAAGCUAUUUAGGUAGCGCCUCGUGAACUCAUCUUCGGGGGUAGAGCACUGUUUCGGCUAGGGGGUCAUCCCGACUUACCAACCCGAUGCAAACUACGAAUACCGAAGAAUGUUAUCACGGGAGACACACGGCGGGUGCUAACGUCCGUCGUGAAGAGGGAAACAACCCAGACCGCCAGCUAAGGUCCCAAAGUCAUGGUUAAGUGGGAAACGAUGUGGGAAGGCAUAGACAGCCAGGAUGUUGGCUUAGAAGCAGCCAUCAUUUAAAGAAAGCGUAAUAGCUCACUGGUCGAGUCGGCCUGCGCGGAAGAUGUAACGGGGCUAAACCAUGCACCGAAGCUGCGGCAGCGACACUAUGUGUUGUUGGGUAGGGGAGCGUUCUGUAAGCCUGUGAAGGUGGCCUGUGAGGGCUGCUGGAGGUAUCAGAAGUGCGAAUGCUGACAUAAGUAACGAUAAAGCGGGUGAAAAGCCCGCUCGCCGGAAGACCAAGGGUUCCUGUCCAACGUUAAUCGGGGCAGGGUAAGUCGACCCCUAAGGCGAGGCCGAAAGGCGUAGUCGAUGGGAAACAGGUUAAUAUUCCUGUACUUGGUGUUAUUGCGAAGGGGGGACGGAGAAGGCUAGACCGGCCGGGCGACGGUUGUCCCGGUUUAAGCGUGUAGGUGUGAUGACCUGGCAAAUCCGGUUAUCUUUAACACUGAGGCGUGAUGACGAGGCACUACGGUGCUGAAGUGGUUAAUGCCCUGCUUCCAGGAAAAGCCUCUAAGCUCUAGAUAACACUGAAUCGUACCCCAAACCGACACAGGUGGUCAGGUAGAGAAUACCAAGGCGCUUGAGAGAACUCGGGUGAAGGAACUAGGCAAAAUGGUGCCGUAACUUCGGGAGAAGGCACGCUGGCAUGUAGGUGAAGUCCCUCGCGGAUGGAGCCGAAGCCAGUCGAAGAUACCAGCUGGCUGCAACUGUUUAAUAAAAACACAGCACUCUGCAAACACGAAAGUGGACGUAUAGGGUGUGACGCCUGCCCGGUGCUGGAAGGUUAAUUGAUGGGGUCAGCCGCAAGGCGAAGCUCUUGAUCGAAGCCCCAGUAAACGGCGGCCGUAACUAUAACGGUCCUAAGGUAGCGAAAUUCCUUGUCGGGUAAGUUCCGACCUGCACGAAUGGCGUAAUGAUGGCCAGGCUGUCUCCACCCGAGACUCAGUGAAAUUGAACUCGCUGUGAAGAUGCAGUGUACCCGCGGCAAGACGGAAAGACCCCGUGAACCUUUACUAUAGCUUGACACUGAACAUUGAACCUUGAUGUGUAGGAUAGGUGGGAGGCUUUGAAGUGUGGACGCCAGUCUGCAUGGAGCCGACCUUGAAAUACCACCCUUUAAUGUUUGAUGUUCUAACCUGGUCCCGUAAUCCGGGAUAGGGACAGUGUCUGGUGGGUAGUUUGACUGGGGCGGUCUCCUCCCAAAGAGUAACGGAGGAGCACGAAGGUUAGCUAAUCCUGGUCGGACAUCAGGAGGUUAGUGCAAAGGCAUAAGCUAGCUUGACUGCGAGAGUGACGGCUCGAGCAGGUGCGAAAGCAGGUCUUAGUGAUCCGGUGGUUCUGAAUGGAAGGGCCAUCGCUCAACGGAUAAAAGGUACUCCGGGGAUAACAGGCUGAUACCGCCCAAGAGUUCAUAUCGACGGCGGUGUUUGGCACCUCGAUGUCGGCUCAUCACAUCCUGGGGCUGAAGUAGGUCCCAAGGGUAUGGCUGUUCGCCAUUUAAAGUGGUACGCGAGCUGGGUUUAGAACGUCGUGAGACAGUUCGGUCCCUAUCUGCCGUGGGCGUUGGAAGAUUGAGAGGGGCUGCUCCUAGUACGAGAGGACCGGAGUGGACGCACCGCUGGUGUUCGGGUUGUGAUGCCAAUUGCAUUGCCCGGUAGCUACGUGCGGAAGAGAUAAGCGCUGAAAGCAUCUAAGCGCGAAACUUGCCUCGAGAUGAGUCUUCCCUUGGACCUUGAGUCCACUGAAGGAACGUUUAAGACUAAGACGUUGAUAGGCUGGGUGUGUAAGCGUAGCGAUACGUUGAGCUAACCAGUACUAAUGAUCCGUGAGGCUUAACCUU
rnacentral:rRNA from 1 species